ACGAACGCUGGCGGCGUGCUUAACACAUGCAAGUCGAACGGAAAGGCCCUGCUUUUGUGGGGUGCUCGAGUGGCGAACGGGUGAGUAACACGUGAGUAACCUGCCCUUGACUUUGGGAUAACUUCAGGAAACUGGGGCUAAUACCGGAUAGGAGCUCCUGCCGCAUGGUGGGGGUUGGAAAGUUUCGGCGGUUGGGGAUGGACUCGCGGCUUAUCAGCUUGUUGGUGGGGUAGUGGCUUACCAAGGCUUUGACGGGUAGCCGGCCUGAGAGGGUGACCGGCCACAUUGGGACUGAGAUACGGCCCAGACUCCUACGGGAGGCAGCAGUGGGGAAUAUUGCACAAUGGGCGGAAGCCUGAUGCAGCAACGCCGCGUGCGGGAUGACGGCCUUCGGGUUGUAAACCGCUUUCGCCUGUGACGAAGCGUGAGUGACGGUAAUGGGUAAAGAAGCACCGGCUAACUACGUGCCAGCAGCCGCGGUGAUACGUAGGGUGCGAGCGUUGUCCGGAUUUAUUGGGCGUAAAGGGCUCGUAGGUGGUUGAUCGCGUCGGAAGUGUAAUCUUGGGGCUUAACCCUGAGCGUGCUUUCGAUACGGGUUGACUUGAGGAAGGUAGGGGAGAAUGGAAUUCCUGGUGGAGCGGUGGAAUGCGCAGAUAUCAGGAGGAACACCAGUGGCGAAGGCGGUUCUCUGGGCCUUUCCUGACGCUGAGGAGCGAAAGCGUGGGGAGCGAACAGGCUUAGAUACCCUGGUAGUCCACGCUGUAAACGGUGGGUACUAGGUGUGGGGUCCAUUCCACGGGUUCCGUGCCGUAGCUAACGCUUUAAGUACCCCGCCUGGGGAGUACGGCCGCAAGGCUAAAACUCAAAGGAAUUGACGGGGCCCCGCACAAGCGGCGGAGCAUGCGGAUUAAUUCGAUGCAACGCGUAGAACCUUACCUGGGUUUGACAUGGAUCGGGAGUGCUCAGAGAUGGGUGUGCCUCUUUUGGGGUCGGUUCACAGGUGGUGCAUGCCUGUCGUCAGCUCGUGUCGUGAGAUGUUGGGUUAAGUCCCGCAACGAGCGCAACCCUUGUUCACUGUUGCCAGCACGUUAUGGUGGGGACUCAGUGGAGACCGCCGGGGUCAACUCGGAGGAAGGUGGGGAUGACGUCAAGUCAUCAUGCCCCUUAUGUCCAGGGCUUCACGCAUGCUACAAUGGCUGGUACAGAGAGUGGCGAGCCUGUGAGGGUGAGCGAAUCUCGGAAAGCCGGUCUCAGUUCGGAUUGGGGUCUGCAACUCGACCUCAUGAAGUCGGAGUCGCUAGUAAUCGCAGAUCAGCAACGCUGCGGUGAAUACGUUCCCGGGGCU
rnacentral:rRNA from 1 species